UACGUAGGGUGCAAGCGUUUAAUCGGAAUUACUGGGCGUAAAGCGUGCGCAGGCGGUUCGUUGUGUCUGUGGUGAAAGCCCCGGGCUUAACCUGGGAAUGGCCAUGGAAACUGGCGAGCUGGAGUGUGGCAGAGGGGGGUGGAAUUCCGCGGUGUAGCAGUGAAAUGCGUAGAGAUGCGGAGGAACACCGAUGGCGAAGGCAGCCCCCUGGGCUAACACUGACGCUCAGGCACGAAAGCGUGGGGAGCAAACAGG
rnacentral:rRNA from 1 species